CCCCUAGAUGUUCUGGACCGCACGCGCGCUACACUGAACAGUUCAACAAGUCUUAACCUUGGCCGAUAGGUCUGGGUAAUCUUUGAACGCUGUUCGUGAUUGGGAUAGACCUUUGCAAUUAUGGGUCUUCAACGAGGAAUUCCUAGUAAACGCAAGUCAUCAGCUUGCAUUGAUUACGUCCCUGCCCUUUGUACACACCGCCCGUCGCACCUACCGAUUGAAUGGUCCGGUGAAAUCUCGGGACGGCGGCUUGGUCGCUUGCGUCCGACUGCUGAAACUUGAUUAAACCAUAUCAUUUAGAGGAAGGUGANGUCGUNACA
rnacentral:rRNA from 1 species